UGCAAGUCGAACGGGGAUUUUGUUUCGGCAGAAUCCUAGUGGCGAACGGGUGAGUAACGCGUAGGCAACCUGCCCUCCGGCCGGGGACAACACUCCGAAAGGGGUGCUAAUACCGGAUACGAAGUCUGUGCCGCAUGGUACGGAUUUGAAAGAUGGCCUCUAUUUAUAAGCUAUCGCCGGGGGAUGGGCCUGCGUCCGAUUAGCUGG
rnacentral:rRNA from 1 species